rnacentral:tRNA from 1 species
AGGAAAGCAUGCAAGAACUGCUAAUUCAUGCUACCGUACUUAACCGUACGGCUUUCUUA